rnacentral:rRNA from 1 species
GACGAACGCUGGCGGCGUGCCUAAUACAUGCAAGUCGAACGGAGUGGCGCACGGGUGAGUAAUGUAUAGCUAAUCCGCCCUACACGAGAAGACAACAGAUGGAAACGACUGCUAAUUCUAUAUAGUGAAGGAUGAGGCUAUAUUGUAUCAGCUAGUUGGUGAGGUAAUGGCUCACCAAGGCUAGGACGCAUAACUGGUCUGAGAGGAUGAUCAGUACAACUGGAACUGAGACACGGACCAGCCUCCUACGGGAGGCAGCAGUAGGGAAUCUUGCUCAAUAGGGGAAACCCUGACGCAGCCACGCCGCGUUGAGGAUGACACUUUUCGGACCGUAAUCUCCUUUUGUUAGAGAAGCGUUAGUAACUGAGCGUCCCCUGACGGUAUCUAACCAGAAUGCCACGGCUAACUACGUGCCAGCCGCCGCGGUAAUUC